AGGCUGGCCAGCCCCCAGCCAGCGCAGACUGGCACGGCCCAGCUGGCUCUGGGCAAGUAUCUCUUUGAGCCGCUCACUCUCAAGCAUGAUUAGGAGGCCUCGCCUUCC
ensembl:miRNA